rnacentral:lncRNA from 1 species
CUCAAGGCUCAAUCUUGGAGUAUGACUCUAAGAUUUGAUUUGAAUCGAAGUAUGAUUUAUCUUUUGAUUUAACGAUUUCAAUAAUUCAUGAUUCCUCUCCUUAGAGAAUCAAUUGUGAUAUGGUUUCAUAAUAACUAAGAUAGUCAUAAAACAAAAUACUCAAGUACUCUCCCAUCUCUUCAGAUUGGAGAAACUUUUAACUUUCUGCCUUAUUUGAUUCUUCUUAUCCGUUAUGCCAUACAUUGAAACUUUUCCAAUGUUUCAGAAUUACACAUGAACUUGUAAGCAUAACCAUAUUUACUAAACUUUAGUAAAUCAUAAUGAAUAAUCUUAUCAACAUUUGUGGUGGACACGAUUAGCACAUAACAAAGUGUACCCAAUCCUUUAGUCCUUCACUUGACUCACAUGUACAUGUGAACAAGGAAUUAGUCUUACUUUCCUAAAGAUGAAAAAUUCUCAUUCAUCAUACAAAACAAGUUGCAUGAUUCCAAGUUUCUUGUAACACCGUGGUUUUCAAAGCAAAAUUUUUCAUUUAAAUAAUCAAUUUAAUAUUAAAACACUUGUUUAAAAUCUUAUUCAUAUUCGAAUUACAAAACAUAGUUCCAUUUUCAUUUGAAUAGACAACCAGGAUCCUCCAAAAUACAACUCUUUCCUCGGUGUGUACAAUCGAGCCGAUGCCAUUCCGCGUUACUGAAAGAACCUGAAACCACAUAACAUAAAUACUGUAAGCACGAAGCUUAGUGAGUUCCCCAAUAUACACUUACGCACAUACGCCUUUCCAGGCCCUGACCUUCCGGUCCUCAUUAUCACGCCUUCCGGCCCAUAACAUAAUCGCCUUCCGGCCCAUAACAUAUUGCCUUCCGGCCCACAUAACAUACAUAGCACAUAUAACAAAUAACUUACCACAUAUAGCAUACAUAUCACAUAACAUAUCCGACCUUCCGGUCACACAGUCAAACCCUUCCGGGUACAGUAUAGUGAGAAGACUCACCUCGCGGCCACUGGAAGAUAGCAACUCCUGAAAUCUCUUGCACUUGAUCCUCCGAGCUACAAGCUCCCUGUCUCAUCAUAUAUCUCUUUUUAAUACUUCUAUCUUCCACGUUAACUGACCCUAAAACGUUACACACAGGUCAACUCUGGUCAACGGCCAUCUCGACUGGACUCGGCGAGUACCCUGGCGACUCGGCGAGUCUAGUCGUCCUCACCAAUUCCUGCAUGAUCCCUUUCUACUCGUCGAGUAUCCCUCUUGACUCGACGAGGUCCUCGUGGAAGAAUCGCGGGGCCACCCCGACUCUACUCGCCGAGCCUGAAGAACAAACUCGGCGAGUCCCAGUGAAUCUUCAAGCUACUCGCCGAGUCUGAUCAUCCGACUCGGCGAGUCUACGCCAUGCAGUCGAUCGAACUGCUUCCUGAGAUACAUAUAUUCUCGAAUAUACAAACAUGGGACCUUCUGGACCUCUAAGGGUCCUAAUACAAGGUUAUAAACGUUGAAUAACAACACAACAAUCCAUCUAGACUCCAAAUGGGUUCCAUAAACCCUAAAUCUAUAUACACAUCAAUCACAGGAGAAUGUAAUCCGAAUUAUUACCUGAAUGAUGUACCUUCCAUGUCCCCAAACUUCAGAACUCGAACUCCCUGCAGUUCCUUUAGCUAAAACCCUUCUCCUCCUUGCACAACAAUUCCUUCAAGGUCACCAAUGGCCUUCAAGCUUGCUCUAGCCGCCCCAGUCGCCUAGGGUUCUUCCCAAUCGAUCCAAAGUCGUGAAAUGACGGCAUAAUAACCCUUAUAUACGACCCAAUACUGAACGGCUAGGGUUUCCGCUGAACAGCGUCGACUCGCCGAGUCCAUAUCUGGACUCGUCGAGUCCAGUCGUGAACCCGCGACCAAACCUGCGACCCUACUCGGCGAGUCUGGCUCCAACUCGUCGAGUCUCCCCUUUAAAACACCCCCAAAAUGCAACUUAACAAUACUUGAGAUUUUGGGCUGUUACAAUUCUCCCCCACUAGAAUUAGACUUCGCCCUCGAAGUCUCACUCUGAAAAUAGCUCUGGCUGCUGCUCCCGCAUCUCACGUUUCGGCUUCCCUAGACACUACCGAUCUCUCCCGAGGCCGCUACUGAACCAAUACCAGAGGUACCUCCUUGUUCCUCAGAACCUUGAUCUUCCGAUCUCCGACGGCCACUGGCCUCUCGACGUAACACAGGCUCGCAUCCACCUAAUCGUUCUCUAGUAGAACCACUGCUGACUCAUCCGCUAUACACCUCUUCAACUGCGACACAUACCAGUGUCAUGGAUCCGUCCCAAUUCCGUUGACAGCUCCAAACGAUAGGCCACCCUUCCUACCUUCGCACCUUCACGAAAAGACCCAACAUACCGGGGCCCCCCAUUUACCCCUCUUCCUAAAUCGAAGCACCCCAUCAGAAAUACGAAGUCGCUGACCUGAAUCACAUGCUCGUAACGGCGUCUGCCUGCAUAACUUUCCUGUUAACUCUAGACGAUCACUAACUCUCUUUAACCUGCUGAGUCUGCUUUGUCAACUAAAGUACGAACUCUGAACUGCUCAUCACUCUCUGUAAUCGGAAAUUACCCAAGAUGCACUCUGCUCCAAAUCUCAACGAUCACUCAACCCAUAAGGGUUAGGAAACCCUGAACCACCGGAUCCCCGAUCCAAAGCCCACUUUGCCCAUUCCGGACCGACUGAGAGAUCCGUUCUCCCUCUCAGAUCAACUCUCACAAGUUCCCUCUUGCCAUCACAUACACAUACUGAACUAGUCCCAACACCCGCAGGUGGAAAGACCCGAUACACUGAUGAUAUCCUCGAACAUCUCCCAAGAUGAACCACUACAUCCACCCUACACUCUGAUCAGAUUCACACUGAGAAUUUAAAAUUUUCUCUCUCCAUGCAUCCCUUCUGAGCCUCAACAGACAUCCCAACCGGAUGGGUUCCUACUCCACUGCCGCGAACACGAUGCUCAAAACCAUACUCGAAAUACUCUAACCAUAACUCUGCUCUGCAGCUUUCACUUUCGUGAACUUGCACCCCCUUCGGAGUUACAUACCCUCCUCUUUUCCUUUUCCACGGAACUCUCUUGAACAUAAUGCCACUCCAACCGGUGCCACGGUGCUCGCCCCAAGCGACACCACCCUUUUUGCGUAACUGCUAUUCACAUACUCUGGUUCUCAUUGCAGGGGCUCUCAAUCCCAUGCACUCUCUCCACUCAUCAAAAUCACUGCCUCCGCUAAACAAGAUCAAUAACCCGGGGCCAGACCUUCCAAUGCAAUCACACUGCAACAUACGCGAUCCGCAAAUCUCAAACUAAUCCAGCAAUACCAACAGAGUCUCCAGUAUGACUGGACCGACUCUCAUAACACAUACUAGCCACUCGAGGCUAUAUCUCUGUGGGUCCGUACACCCAAACUCUGCGAACCCUCAGGUUCUAACUCUGGGAACCUUCCGGUUCCAGCUCUAGAAACAUGCACAACAUAAUCCCGUGGGAUUAAUGCAGUACAACCCAUCACGUACCUCAAACGUACCAAUACUCUGAUCGCAAAAUUCCGAUUACUUACUCAAGCUUGAUCCCGACCUCCUCUCAGGCCUCCACAAUCAAAUGCCCUAGGUCUGUAUCUCGCCCCGCAUACUCAACACUCGCUCUCGUCGGCCUAUACUUUGCGCUGACAAACACUGCUGAAUCCCAACAGCUAAGCACCCUUACAUACUCAUCGAUCUCCCGGAGAAUUUUACAAUUCUCCCCCACUAAAGCACUGACUAACUGCCACCGAUCGUCAUUAACGACCUUUCAGAACCAUCCUGCACAAAGAGAACAUUUACCCACUGACUGCUUCCCACAAGCGUAAGCAACCCUCAGCAAAACACAUCUCCUCCCUGAUCAAUCCGCUCAAAAGAAUCCGAUCUUUCAAUUAUCCACUCCACAACUGCAGAUGCUACCCGUCAUUCAACCCAGUGCCGCAUCUCCACUAUCAACCCUCACGAACGAUGACCAACGGAAUUCCCAAGCAAUAACCCAUAACCAAACCCACAACCUGCCAAAGGUUGAAUAUCGCAUCGAAAACCGCACAAGGCUACCGGUACCAAAACACCAAACUAUAAUCAUACUAAACCAUCAGGGAACAACGAAUGCCAAGCGAAAACCUGAAGCACCAAUCCAUAACCAUGCCAAACCCGCGAAACAACGAAUACCGCAUCGAAAUCCACACCAGACACCAGCACAAACAAUACGCCACAAUCAACGCAAGCUACUCAAGACAUCAAGAGAGCAUCAUACCCGCAGCUGCCUCCGGCACUGCUCCGUCUCCCUCUGCCGCAAGCCGAUAAGCACGACCCUGAGCCCUUGGGCUCUGCUCCAUCCUGUCCUCCUCCUGAACUCCUCAAGGUGGCCGAUGCUAGAGCCUGCACCGGUCCUGCAGGAAACUGUGGACGGUUGACCCUCAAAUGUCCAACCUGCCGACACUGAUAACAAAUCCUGAAAUCCCGAAUUGGCACUGACUGCCGACAAUCCCGUGCACCAUGCCCCUCCUUUCCGCACUUGCGGCAUGCACCACUGGGCCAACAAGCUCCGGUGCCAUCUCUCUCACACUUCCCACAAGUGUGACCGCUCCGAUCCCCCAUUCUAACGUCUACGGUCAUGGACCGUUUCGGCGCCGACUGCGACUGCAUCGGGGCCUGCCUCAUCUCACGCAACUGCAACUCAACCUCUAACUCACGCCACAUGGCGGCCUCCUGCGAUACCAACACGGUCUCGCGCCUCUGCGCAGACACGAACUGUCUGAUACCCCCCCUUGAGCAUACUCGGAUAUCGGGACAUCUGAGCCUGCUCCGAAGCGAACUCAGGGCAAAACAUCGCCCUCUCAAUAAACAUCCCGGUGCUCUCAGUCACCGACUCCAAAUCCUGCUUCAGCUUAAGGAACUUCCGAGCCAAUUUCUCCUUUUCAUCCCGCGGAACAUAGCGAGUACUGAACAUCCCUCUGAAUUGAUCCCAUGAAACCGCAGCCCUCUGCGCAUCGGAAAAUGACCUCGUGGUCAAUCUCCACCAAUCCUUCGCCCCGAGCCUCAACAGGUUCAGAGCACACCCCACCCUCUGAUCAGCAGGGCAUAAACUCGUGGAGAAACACCCCUCCAUGUCUGAUAACCAUCUCAUAGCAACAAUCGAGUCCUGAACUCCAUCGAAUGUGGGAGGCUUCGCAUAAUAGAAGUCCCGAUACUGAAAACCCCGACUAGCCCCUUUCUUUGCCGUUGCUACAGCCGCUGUAACCGCCGCGGCAGCCGUCUCUGCGAAAGCCGCAUAUCGCUCAUCAAACUACUUCAAUCAUAGUGGUCCUGAUCGACCCAAACAAUUCUGGCGACUCAGCCCGCAACAAUGCAGCAACCUCAUCACGCAGGAUCUCGCGAAUCCUCGCAUCCCGCUCGCUCGUGCUCGUCCGAUCGAUAACCGGAUAACAAGAUAGCCACAAGCAUCAUCCACUACGAACCAUGGUACUCAUCCCAUGACAUCCCUCCUCAACAUGCUUCGGUGUAUGGUACCUGAACCAUAGCACCACUCCUCAAUCUGCUCCAAUGUAUAGCACUCGGACCACAACAUCUAUCUCAAUCUGUUCCGAUGUAUGGUGCCCGGACCAUAACAUCACUCUGUAUCCGCUCCGAUGUAUGGUAUCCGAACCAUAACAUCACCCCUCAAUCUGUUCCUUAGGACCUUCAGAAUGCCCCCUGUAUCAAGUAUGGGUCCUCUGCUUUCAGUAGUACGGGCCCAUACUACCUGCCACAUCUACCCAUACUUUCCACACGGACCAUCCCAGAGUUCCUAAGUAGCUGAUAAACCUGCUCUUUCACCCAUCUCAUCGCGCGUGCUCGCUUUCCAGCGAAAUCCUCUACUCUACCAGCGCACUCAUCUGGCUAGGUUUACUCCCUAGUCCCUUCCGCUGUCCUCCCACUUCUUUGCUAUCAGCUGCUGAAGAGUUCCUAAUGAUGCCAGCCCUCUACCUCCUGAGUAUCGUCAUACUCACUUAGUAGCUGACUCCCAUCAUCGAUAACUCCACAAAGCACAAAGCAAGCAGCAUUCGAGCAUUGAAGCAUACAUAGGACUCCCCAUCUGUGGUAGCUCCACCUUCUCGGCUCAUCCUCGGAAGUACCUCUGUACCCCGUAGCUUUACCCCUUGUGCGUUCUAACUAGAUACUCUCACUCAUCACAUACACACAAAAGCAUAACGCACAUAUAACAGCAAACCCUAGACUAAGGCAUCACAAAUCAGGCCACUCUAGUCCUAAGAUGUGAAAUACCUAGCCUGUCUCUAGCAUGCAAUAAUGUCUCAUAAAGUGCAUAAUAGAUAUUUCAUAAUACAAAAGUAAGGGUAUUUUGGGAAAUCACCGUUUGGCUCUGGCUGAUUGUACACACUGCUCUUUCUUGCUUUCUCUUUGAACUCUUAUUCACUUUUAGAAAACUAUUUAUUUGAAAACCUUUUCUUAAUUCCUCAGUUUGAGUCCAGACUCACCCGUAGGCGCGUCCGAAUCCCUCAAACCAAGGCUCUGAUACCAAUUGUAACACCGUGAUUUUCAAAGCAAAAUUUUUCAUUUAAAUAAUCAAUUUAAUAUUAAAACACUUGUUUAAAAUCUUAUUCAUAUUCGAAUUACAAAACAUAGUUCCAUUUUCAUUUGAAUAGACAACCAGGAUCCUCCAAAAUACAACUCUUUCCUCGGUGUGUACAAUCGAGCCGAUGCCAUUCCGCGUUACUGAAAGAACCUGAAACAACAUAACAUAAAUACUGUAAGCACGAAGCUUAGUGAGUUCCCCAAUAUACAACUUACGCACAUACGCCUUUCCAGGCCCGACCUUCCGGUCCAUGUGUCUCAGGGGACUUCCGUCCCUGCUGGGUAAACCUUCCGGCCUUACCCACGCCGACCUUCCGGUCCAUCACACAACAUAUCGCCUUCCGGCCCAUAACAUAUUGCCUUCCGGCCCAUAAUAUAAUCGCCUUCCGGCCCAUAACAUACAUAGCACAUAUAACAAAUAACUUACCACAUAUAGCAUACAUAUCACAUAUCAUAUCCGACCUUCCGGUCACACAGUCAAACCCUUCCGGGUACAGUAUAGUGAGAAGACUCACCUCGCGGACACUGGAAGAUAGCAACUCCUGAAAUCUCUUGCACUUGAUCCUCCGAGCUACAAGCUCCCUGUCUCAUCAUAUAUCUCUUUUUAAUACUUCUAUCUUCCACGUUAACUGACCCUAAAACGUUACACACAGGUCAACUCGGGUCAAUGGCCAUCUCGACUGGACUCGGCGAGUACCCUGGCGACUCGGCGAGUCUAGUCGUCCUCACCAAUUCCUGCAUGAUCCCUUUCUACUCGUCGAGUAUCCCUC